GCUGUAAGGUGUCCGAUCGCGUGUCAAUCCUUUGGAGUGGCAUGAGGAAAGUCCGGACUCCGUAGGGCAGGGUGUCCCGGCUGGGAACGGUCGGGAGCGGUGCGGGAAAACCGUACUGACGGAAAGUGCCACAGAAAGAAAACCGCCACUCGGAUUUCCGAGUGGUAAGGGUGAAAGGGUGGUGUAAGAGACCACCGUCCGAUGUCGAGAGGCGUUGGGCAAGGCAAACCCCGCCCGGAGCAAGACCAAAUAGGAGGUCUGAGGCGGCCCGUCUCCCACCGCGUAAGCGGGGGACCGCGAGCAUUGCUGGCGGGAGACCUCGGGUUGGUUGCAUAGAUAAAUGAUCGGCCUGCUUCGGCAGGAACAGAAUCCGGCUUACCGCACCUUGCGGCUCCA
rnacentral:RNase_P_RNA from 1 species